rnacentral:lncRNA from 1 species
AUGCUGUUGCCAACCUGCCAUGGUGGAGCAGCCUCCCUGCCUUCCACAAGAUCUGGUGUGACCCCAUGUGCUCCAGGUUUUUACUGCCCAGAGGGCAGUGGAGAACCCACCUUGUGUCCACCUCACACCAUGGCGGCUGCCCCCGGAGCCAAGCAGCGAGAGGAAUGUGGGCCUUGCCCUGCUGGGCGCUGGUGCAAAGCUGGGGACCCGGCCACCCACCCCUGCCCUGCCGGCCACUACUGCCCUGGAGGGAGUGAGACCAGCCCAGGAACCCCUCAGGCCUGCCCUGAACACACCUAUCUGCCUGCGGAAGGAGGCCAGAGUCUGGCAGAGUGCCUCCCCUGCCCUCCUGGAUACCUCUGUGUAUCCCCAGGUGAGAGGCUACCUCUAGGCCAGAGGCUGAGACCUCUGUGGAGGAGAGAUAAGAGGCCACCAGGGGUCCCAUGGCCAUGCCUGCUGUUUUUGCUCCCAGGUCUCUCCUCCCUUGAAAGCCGCCUUUGUCCUCCAGGCUACUGGUGUCCAGGUGAUCAGGGUGCCUUUCUCUGCCCACCUGGCACCUUUCGGACAAAACCAGGGGCAUCAUCAAAAGAAGACUGUGAGCUCUGUCCCCCUGGCCACUACUGCCCCCAGGCUGAGCUGAGGGAUCAUGCAAAUGUGUUUGUGAUCCCCUGCAGAGCUGGAUUUGAAUGCCCUGCAGGUGAGACUGCCUGGCCUAUCCCUCCCUCCCCAGCCACUGCUCCCAUCCCUUGUACUCUCACCCCCGAGGCUUAGGCCAGGUGCUCAGGCAAGUCUUAUCAGCACUGGGCGCAUCAUGCAGGCAAGGCAUGGCCACCUGCUUGUCCUAGCAAGCUGUUUGCCCAGCCCCCCAUGGCCCACUCAGUCUUGGUUGGAUCUGUGCCACCUGGAUACUCUCAAGACCAAGGUGCACUGGUCUGUUCCUGUCUCCCUCAGGUGCUGUGGCUGAGGUCACUUGUAGAGCUGGCUCUUACUGCGAGACCCAGACAGGGAUCCCCCCACUUUGUCCUGGUGGCUAUGCCUGCCCUGCUGGCUCCUCCACCUACACUGGCCCAGGGCAGCUGUGAGUACCCUCCCCUGCCUGUGUGUCUCAGCCUCAGGGAUCUCCAGAGAGGAGUCAAACCCCUGAGUCCCAAAGGAUUCAGGACCCCAAGACAAGUACUGGGCAACCCUUUGCUUGGACUUCCCAGCUACAGUGUUCACAUGCCUCAGUCCCUGCCUCUGUCCUUAAAAAGGAAGGGAGGGUGAAGAAGCAAAUCCCACUGAGAUGCCCUUUAUUAGUUUCCAGGGCCAUUUUGUGUGGGGCGGCCAGAUUUAGCAAAUAAAAAUACAGGAAAACCCA